GCAGAGUAAGUUUGCGUGCGUGAAGUGCUCACCGGAUAGAGAGUUGUCGGAGAGACGAAAAGGUUAUUCUUACGAUACGCGGACUGCAUCUCGCUGC
rnacentral:ncRNA from 1 species